AAGGGCUAGCUGCUUGAGAGCAAGGUACUCAGGCAAAGGCAGUUCCAGCCUGGUAAACCCUCAGACUACAGGUCUUGGUAAAGGCCCAGAAAGGUACUGGGGCUGCAGAGGGGCAGCCUGGAUAAAAGCAAAGGCGGUAGGUCCUACUCCCUUGCCAAUGAUGAGAGGCCAUUAUAGACUGCAGUCUGCCCAUGUGAGCAGGGGUUAGAUGAUGACUGGCAGUAGCCACUGAGGCAAGGUGGAUUUAGAGGGUUGGGGGUUCCCCUGGGAGGGGUAAUCCAGAGAGUGUGGGGGCACUGACAGAGGGCAGGACCCCAAGGUAAAGGGGCACUGGGGUCUGGGAGGGCCAUGAGGGACCAGCGGCAGGUGAGGCACCAGCUGGGAAGGGGUGCUCUAUAAUCUGGAUAGCUAAUUGCUAAGACAACCAGCAGGAGAAGCUGCACCGGUUCUUCCAGCUUGAUGGAAAGAUCCUGUGCUAUGAUGUGAGUCAAGCCAUCUCCAUUGCUUAUGUGCUGUCUCUGAGAGGUUCUCUCCAAUGGCUUUAUCUGGAGUGCUCUUCUAGCACCUUGGUCAUCCAGUAGCACCACUGAUUGGCAAACUUCCUGCUUCUUAUAAGAGGAUGACUUUAUAAUCUGGCCAGAGGGUCAAAUUACUCUCUCAAAGAGAAAUCGAGGUGUCCUACCUGCAGGAGCAGACUGUGGAACAAAUGAAAACUGAGGAACAGGUGUGAACCAGAUGCUGAAAGCAGUUUAUAAUGUCUUUGAAGAACCUCGCAUUUCUACCUUCCUGGAUGGGUGGAGCUCACACACAGAUGAGGCAGAACUUGCAGCCUUAUAAAAUUCCUUCUGAAGUCCAGAGGGGUCUUUCUGCUGAAUUCUGUGGGAAUUGGACUGGUCUGUAGGGCUUCAAAUACAAGGGAAGUUGCAGAGGAGGUUUUUGGUCCAUGUAAACAAUCUUUGGAGAAGAACCAUAGGAGCGUCGAAACUGCAGGAGGAGAGUUGAGCUGGAGUUUGUUGGAAAACUGCUUUAUAAACAAGCUGGAGCAUGAGCAGCAGGGAGUCGGCAUGUCUGCUGUGCACCACACAACAGACACAGAGGGACCUUCUACUCAAGAAUUUUAAGCCUCCAUGUGAGGAAUAUGUGGGGCUUUUCAUCACCUGGGGCAUCCAGGACAUUGAAACUGAUGCCUCUUUCCCUACCAUAGAAAGACUAACAAAUUGAGUCAAAACUACUGGGAUUUGAACUCUUCUAAGCUUUCUCCUCUGCUUUUCAUUUCAGCAUGUGCUUGUAAAACAUCCAAGUUAACACUCAACAACUGUCAGAAGGAAUUAUGGGGCAGGAGAGGUGGUUUUUUUUUUUUUCAAUAAAUUAACAAAGGUCUUAAUUUCCAAAAUUUUGUCAGGGAAAAUAUAAACACUCCCUAAAUCACUUAAACUGUCCAGGUCAGCAAACUCCCACCAGCCUGGGGGUGUGCCACCACCUCACAUGCAAUAAAAGAAACACAUACCUUCAUAAGAAUGCAUACAAGGAACCUACCCCACAAGCUUGUCCUUGCCUAGUUUUAGAAGGACAUAAUCAUACACUUGAGUAGCACAAAGACUGCUUCACUCAAAUAUCUAAAAGGGUGGUAUGAUGGCUGAGAUUUGGAUUCUAUUCCAACUUGUUCACAAUACUCAGCAUUUUUGGGUAACAUGGAGGGCUGCCCAUGCUUCUUGGACUAGUUUCUUUUAUUGCAUGUGAGGUGGUGGCACACCCCCAAUAGCUUUAUAUAAUUAGGGGAGGAAAAACAACUAAUGAUGUUUUCUGAUAUAAGCAGUGCACACCAAACCUACAUUACCUCUCCUCAUGUAACCUGGUACAAUGUGAUAUAUUUGGCUAAGAUUGUAAAAUUUCCCCCUCAGAGGAUUUCAUUUUUAGAAGCUGUUGCUGAUAACAGGUGGCAAAAUACUUGCAUUAUUCCAAAGUCAUUAGUUACCCCAUGAACCUGAUAUAAAUUAAGCCUGAGUGCUCAUUGCUGCUAGAUGUUGCAAGUCUGUGGAGUAAACUUUUCAGAAAAAUUUUCACCUGGAAUGUACCAAAUGUGUUGCCAAUGCAUUUUUUUCAUACACGCAUCUUAGUACCUGAUUUUUUUUUCCCCAAAACUGCUUGCAUAGUUUUGCAUCUAAAUGUGUGCAAUUUAAUGCCUAAACUGCCAAUCAUGCAUUUGUAUGUGAAAAUGACUGAAUCUGCCUUCUACUGGCCAUUUGUACACACCUGCUGUCUGCAUCUAAUCCUGAUAAUUAGGUUCACAGUUGAAUGCAUAAACUCUCUUAAAAAAAAUCAGGCCUUUAAUCUCCUUGUAAUUCUGCUGUAUAUGAGUUUUCAUAAUGAAUCUUUAAUUGCUGUUGUGUUUUCAUUUCUAUAAACUGACUACUGUAUGAAAUUCUAUUUGUGUUAACAGGUACAAUAGUAAUUGGUGUCUCUUACAGGGCCUACUCACAUUUUGGGAGUAGGCAUUCUGCACAUCAUUUUACAUGUAAGGACCCAGUCCAAGAUAUUGGGUCAGAUCCUGACUUCCCCACUCAGGCUGCUUUAUAGAAAGCUGAUGGAAAGUCAAGGGAUCUGUUCCCCUUAGCAUCCUCUGUGUAUGGAGCAAUACUCUGGUAUAGACCUGCAGUGACUCUGAACCAUGCAUACUCAACCCCCAUAUGGCAGGCUACACUCCCCCUCCUUUAUACUACCUAAGUGUUUCAAUACCCUGGUGAUCACUGGCUUAUGGAACAGCCCUUAAGGGGUCUUGGUUGGUGGUGCAAGAUGAAGCAGCUGUUAGGCUAACUUAUUUUAAUAUAAAGCAACUAGAUAGUCCCAAUCUAGGGUGGAUAAAAGUUAACCUUGGUGCCACCUUUACCCCUUGAGAAGAUUUAAGCUGCACCCAGUGUGGCGCACAUCCAGCGUGAGAUCCAAGCUUGAGUUCUCUGGCUUGUAUAAAUGGUCUCUGUUUGAUACUGUACAUUACAAAAAUGAACAUAAGCAUUUGGGCUGAUUAAAUGGGUGAGGCAGGGAUAGCAGUUGGGAGAAGCCACCACAGUUAAGAAUGGAAACAUGAGCACUCCAAGUUUUUAUAAGCCUACCAGCCCCUUGAACAACUUUUAGUAUAAAUUUAUAUAGUGGCAUGUUAAUGGGUUUUUAAAACAACUAUGUGGAAUAUUGCAGGAAGGCACUCUAACACCUGAGGAUAUUGCUAUAUGGCUGAGGAGAGAAUGCAAGUGCAGGUUCUAUCCAGCAGUUAUGACUGGGAUCACUUUAAAAUCUUACUGUGCCAUCCAGACCCUCAGGGCCUAACACAACAGUCCUACAAAGAGGAUAUUUCUAUAGCUAGCUGCCUGACAAUUAUUUUAAUUUGUUUAAAUUGGUAUAGCCCUGUGGACAGCUUACUUAAAAGCUCCACUCUAUUAUGUGUUCAUUCC